UAGGAAUCUUGCACAAUGGGCGAAAGCCUGAUGCAGCAACGCCGCGUGAGUGAAGAAGGCCUUCGGGUUGUAAAGCUCUUUCGGCUGGGAAGAAGGGUGGACGGGUGAAUAAUCCGGCUAUUUGACUGUACCAGAAGAAGAAGCACCGGCUAACUCCGUGCCAGCAGCCGCGGUAAUACGGAGGGUGCAAGCGUUAUUCGGAAUCACUGGGCGUAAAGGGCGCGUAGGCGGGCGCAUAAGUCGAUUGUGAAAGCCCCGGGCUCAGCCUGGGAAUGGCAGUCGAUACUGUGUGUCUUGAGUGCUUGAGAGGGUGGUGGAAUUCCUGGUGUAGAGGUGAAAUUCGUAGAUAUCAGGAGGAACACCGGAGGCGAAGGCGGCCACCUGGCAAGACACUGACGCUGAGGCGCGAAAGCGCGGGGAUCAAAC
rnacentral:rRNA from 1 species